rnacentral:tRNA from 1 species
AGGGGUAUAGCUCAACCGGUAGAGCAUCGGUCUCCAAAACCGAAGGUUGGGGGUUCGACGCCCUCUGCCCCUGCCA